rnacentral:rRNA from 1 species
GACGAACGCUGGCGGCGUGCUUAACACAUGCAAGUCGAACGGAAAGGCCCUGCUUUUGUGGGGUGCUCGAGUGGCGAACGGGUGAGUAACACGUGAGUAACCUGCCCUUGACUUUGGGAUAACUUCAGGAAACUGGGGCUAAUACCGGAUAGGAGCUCCUGCUGCAUGGUGGGGGUUGGAAAGUUUCGGCGGUUGGGGAUGGACUCGCGGCUUAUCAGCUUGUUGGUGGGGUAGUGGCUUACCAAGGCUUUGACGGGUAGCCGGCCUGAGAGGGUAACCGGCCACAUUGGGACUGAGAUACGGCCCAGACUCCUACGGGAGGAAGCAGUGGAGAAUAUUGCACAAUGGGCGGAAGCCUGAUGCAGCAACGCCGCGUGCGGGAUGACGGCCUUCGGGUUGUAAACCGCUUUCGCCUGUGACGAAGCGUGAGUGACGGUAACGGGUAAAGAAGCACCGGCUAACUACGUG